rnacentral:rRNA from 1 species
AACCAACAGGGAUUGCCUCAGUAACGGCGAGUGAAGCGGCAAAAGCUCAAGUUUGAAACCCAACAAUGGGAUUGUACCAGGAGAGGUAGGCACCGGCAAAAGUCCCUUGGAACAGGGCGCCACAGAGGGUGAUAGCCCCGUAGCCAGCCAACAAAUACCUCCCCCAAAGAGUCGAGUUGUUUGGGAAUGCAGCUCAAACGGUGGUAAAAUCCAUCCAAAGCUAAAUACAGGCGAGAGACCGAUAGCGAACAAGUACAGUGAUGGAAAGAUGAAAAGCACUUUGAAAAGAGAGUGAAACAGUAUGUGAAAUUGUUGAGAGGGAAGGGAAUCACUCACAGAGUGCUUCCACCCGUCUUGAAACACGGGACCA